GAUGAAGAACGCAGCGAAACGCGAUAAGUAAUGUGAAUUGCAGAAUUUAGUGAAUCAUCGAGUCUUUGAACGCACAUUGCGCCCCCUGGUAUUCCGGGGGGCAUGCCUGUCCGAGCGUCAUUGCUGCCCUCAAGCACGGCUUGUGUGUUGGGCCUCCGUCCUCCUCCCGGGGGACGGGCCCGAAAGGCAGCGGCGGCACCGCGUCCGGUCCUCGAGCGUAUGGGGCUUCGUCACCCGCUCUUGUAGGCCCGGCCGGCGCUUGCCGACACAUCAAUCUUUUUUCCAGGUUGACCUCGGAUCAGGUAGGGAUACCCGCUGAACUUAAGCAUAUCAAUAAGCGGAGGA
rnacentral:misc_RNA from 1 species